rnacentral:rRNA from 1 species
UUAGCAUGGAAUAAUAAAAUAGGACGAGUGAUUCUAUUUUGUUGGUUUAUAGAACCACCGUAAUGAUUAAUAGGAACAGUUGGGGGCAUUAGUAUUCAGUUGCUAGAGGUGAAAUUCUUGGAUUUACUGAAGACUAACUACUGCGAAAGCAUUUGCCAAGGAUGUUUUCAUUAAUAAAGGACGAUGGUUGGGGGAUCGAAAAUGAUUAGAUACCGCUGUAGUCCCAACAGUAAACUAUGCCGACUGAGGAUUGGAUGACGUUAUAUUAUUGACUCAUUCAGCACUCUGCGAGAAAUCAAAGUUUUUGGGCUUAGGGGGGAGUAUGGUCGCAAGGCUGAAACUUAAAGGAAUUGACGGAAGAGCACCACAAAGAGUGGAGCCUGCGGCUUAAUUUGACUCAACACGGGGAAACUCACCAUGUCCAGACAUAGUAAGGAUUGACAGAUUGAUAGCUCUUUCUUGAUUCUAUGGGUGGUGGUGCAUGGCCGUUCUUAGUUGGUGGAGUGAUUUGUCUGGUUAAUUCCGAUAACGAACGAGACCUUAACCUGCUAAAUAGCCGGUACGACAUUUUGUUGUACAUUGGCUUCUUAGAGGGACUAUUGAUGUUUAAUCAAUGGAAGUUUGAGGCAAUAACAGGUCUGUGAUGCCCUUAUAUGUUCUGGGCCGCACGCGCGCUACACUGACAGACGCAGCGAGUAUUAUAUUCCUUAUUCGAAAGAAUUGUGUAAUCUUGUUAAACUCUGUCGUGCUGGGGAUAGAGCAUUGCAAU